GUAGGGAAUAUUGGGCAAUGGAUGCAAGUCUGACCCAGCCAUCCCGCGUGCCGGAAGAAGGCCCUCAGGGUUGUAAACGGCUUUUGACGGUGAAGAAUCGACAGGAUGCGUCCUGUUUUGACGGUAGCCGUUGAAUAAGCACCGGCUAACUCCGUGCCAGCAGCCGCGGUAAUACGGAGGGUGCGAGCGUUGUCCGGAUGUAUUGGGUUUAAAGGGUGCGUAGGCUGGAAGGUCAGUCAGCGGUGAAAAGCUGUCGCUUAACGAUAGUCUUGCCGCAGAUACUUCCUUUCUUGGAUGAGGAGGAGGCCACUGGAACGGAUGGUGUAGCGGUGAAAUGCAUAGAUAUCAUCCAGAACACCGAUUGCGAAGGCAGGUGGCUGUACCUUAAUCGACGCUGAUGCACGAAAGCAUGGGGAGCAAACAGGAUUAGAAACCCGGGUAGUCC
rnacentral:rRNA from 1 species